rnacentral:rRNA from 1 species
CCUACGGGUGGCUGCAGUGGGGAAUAUUGGACAAUGGGGGGAACCCUGAUCCAGCCAUGCCGCGUGUGUGAAGAAGGCCCUCGGGUUGUAAAGCACUUUCAGUGAGGAAGAACGCCUGGUGGUUAAUACCCAUCAGGAAAGACAUCACUCACAGAAGAAGCACCGGCUAACUCCGUGCCAGCAGCCGCGGUAAUACGGAGGGUGCGAGCGUUAAUCGGAAUUACUGGGCGUAAAGCGCGCGUAGGUGGCUUGAUAAGCCGGUUGUGAAAGCCCCGGGCUCAACCUGGGAACGGCAUCCGGAACUGUCAAGCUAGAGUGCAGGAGAGGUAGGUAGAAUUCCCGGUGUAGCGGUGAAAUGCGUAGAGAUCGGGAGGAAUACCAGUGGCGAAGGCGGCCUUCUGGACUGACACUGACACUGAGGUGCGAAAGCGUGGGUAGCAAACAGGAUUAGAUACCCUAGUAGUC